rnacentral:rRNA from 1 species
UACAGAGGUGGCAAGCGUUUGUUCGGAAUUACUGGGGCGUAAAGGGCGAGUAGGUGGCCAUCUAAGUCAGACGUGAAAUCCCCCCGGCUUAACCUGGGAACUGCAUCCGAUACUGGAUGGCUUGAAUCCGGGAGAGGGAUGCAGAAUUCCAGGUGUAGCGGUGAAAUGCGUAGAUAUCUGGAGGAAUACCGGUGGCGAAGGCGGCAUCCUGGACCGGCAUUGACGCUGAUGAGCGAAAGCUAGGGGAGCAAACGGG